AAAACUCCUCAGUCAUCGGUCAUCCCUUCUUCAUUCUUGUACGUUCAUAGAGAGAAAACAGAGUUGAUUAACUUGGUGAAUUAUCUUUAGUUUCCAUGUAAUCUCUUUAUUAAUCAAGCCAAAACGCAGUGCUCUCUAAUGGAAGGUACACUGAACAUUUUGCCUCUAAAACGCGCAGGUUCAAAUGAGUCGCAUGUUAAGGGAAAUAAAAGGAUGAAAGAGACAAAAGAAAAAGCAACUGAUUACGCCAAGCCAUUUGCAAUUCGUGGUUUACUGGAGCGGUUAGAUAGUGGGAGAUAUGGAAGUGUUACGGACGAUAUCCGAUCACUUUUUAACCGGAGAGCUCAAUUGAUGCGUCCAUUUUUGUCUUUGCAUCCUACGCUGUCGAAUGAGCCACGUGGUGGAGGGAUGAGUUUCGGUGAGGAAAAGUGUAAUGUGAUUGAUUUGGAUGAUGACGAGAUUGAGGGUGGUGGUGAUUCUGUUGGAAAUGUCGCUGUGGGGAGAACGCCGGUUGUGGUUAUUGACUCGGACGAUGAUGAGAGUAAUGAGAAUAGGAUGGUUGGGCAUUUUCAGGGGAUUGUUUUGCCUAAGCCCGAGGGGCAUUUUUCCACUGACGUUAUGAUUGGUGACGAUGUUGGUAGAAGAAUUCAAGGAGAAGUGGUGAGCCUUACUGGUGAACCUGACUCCAAGAAAGAUAAAGGUGUUUAUGUUGGUGUAGAGGAGGAUGAAGUUGACACGGAGAUCAAAGAUGAUGGUCUUGGAGAUAUCUGGAAAGAAAUGUCAUUUGCAUUGGAAUGCUCCAAGGAUGUUGUUGAAAAUUCUCCAUCUGAUGAAAACAUGGAAGAAGAUGAAGAUUAUUGUGAUCACUCUUUUGUCUUGAAGGAUGAUAUUGGUUAUGUUUGUCGCAUAUGUGGGGUUAUUGAGAGAGCAAUUGAUACUAUAAUUGAAAUCCAGUUUAAUAAGGUCAAAAGGAAUACAAGGACUUACAUCUCUGAAUCCCAGAAUGCCAAGGACAGAGAUUCAAAUGGGAUGGUUGGAGCUGACUUGUUUGAAGAAGAUUUGAUGGUAACUGACAUCCCUGCUCAUCCAAGGCACAUGAAGCAAAUGAAACCUCAUCAAGUGGAGGGUUUCAAUUUUCUUCGCAAUAAUUUGGUGGCAGAUAAUCCAGGGGGGUGCAUCCUUGCUCAUGCUCCUGGAUCUGGUAAGACAUUUAUGAUAAUCAGUUUUAUGCAAAGUUUUCUAGCCAAAUAUCCACAUGCAAAACCACUAGUGGUGCUUCCAAAAGGAAUAUUGCCUACAUGGAAAAGGGAGUUUCAGAUAUGGCAAAUUGAGGAUUUUCCGCUGUAUGAUUUCUACUCUGUUAAAGCAGAUAGUAGGCAACAACAAUUGGAGGUCUUGAAACAGUGGGUGGAGCAGAAGAGUAUCCUUUUCUUGGGGUACAAACAGUUCUCCUCUAUUGUAUGUGAUGAUGGGAAGAACCAAGUGUCAGUUACUUGCCAGGAGAUAUUGCUAAGAAGACCUUCAAUUCUAAUUUUGGAUGAAGGCCAUACUCCGAGGAAUGAGAAUACAGACGUGUUACAAUCUCUAGCCAAAGUGCAGACGCCUCGUAAAGUUGUGCUGUCUGGAACCCUCUACCAAAAUCAUGUCAAGGAGGUGUUCAAUGUAUUGAAUCUAGUUCGUCCAAAGUUCUUGAAGAUGGAUACCUCCCGAGCUAUUGUCAAGCGCAUCUUGAGUAAAGUAAACAUUCCAUGUGCAAGGAAGCAAUUCAAAGCAGGUGCAGAUGCAGCUUUCUAUGACUUGGUAGAGCAAACCAUACAGAAAGACCAAAAUUUCAAAAGGAAGGUGACUGUUAUACGAGAUCUGCGGGAGAUGACUAGCAAGGUUCUUCAUUAUUAUAAAGGAGAUUUCUUGGAUGAGCUUCCAGGGCUGGUUGAUUUCACUUUGGUGCUGAACCUCAGUUCCAGACAGAAGCAUGAGGUGAAAAAGUUGAAGAAGUUGGCAAUGAAGUUCAAGAGAAGUUCUGUUGGGAGUGCUGUUUAUCUUCACCCAAAGUUGAACUCCUCCGAGAACUCUGCCAUAACUGAUGAUAUGAUGGACAACUUGCUAGAGACAGUAGAUGUGAGAGAUGGAGUCAAGGCAAAAUUCUUUCUCAAUAUAUUAAGCUUAUGUGAGUCAGCUGGGGAGAAGCUCCUGGUUUUCAGCCAGUACCUCACACCGUUGAAGUUUUUAGAAAGACUUGUGAUGAAAGAAAAGGGCUGGAUUUUAGGAAAAGAAAUCUUUGUGAUCUCUGGCGAGUCAAGUUCUGAUCAUCGGGAGUGGUCCAUGGAGCGUUUCAACAACUCCACCAAUGCUAAAAUAUUCUUUGGGUCCAUUAAGGCAUGUGGAGAAGGGAUAUCACUGGUGGGAGCAUCUCGGAUAAUUAUCUUAGAUGUUCACCUUAAUCCUUCAGUAACUCGCCAGGCGAUAGGACGUGCAUUCCGACCUGGGCAAACAAAGAAAGUGUAUGCAUAUAGGUUGGUCGCUGCUGAUUCACCUGAAGAGGAAGAUCAUAACACUUGCUUCAGGAAGGAAGCAAUCGCAAAAAUGUGGUUUGAGUGGAAUGAAUACUGUGGUUACCAGGAUUUUGCGGUGGGGACUGUUGAGUUGGAUGACAGUGGAGAUCACUUCUUGGAAAGUCCGCCGGUGAGGGAAGAUGUAAGGGUUUUGUAUAAAAGGUAGGACCUGGCGAUGAUAGGGUUGAAGCAUUGGAGUUGGUGGAGAUAAAUUAUUACAACUGACUCAGAAACUGUACAUACUUUCCUGGUCCAUGGUCUUAAAGCAAUGCAGACAGAUAUCUUAGAAGUUGAAAGCAAGAUUGAAAAAUAGAUGCAAUGUCAUAUUUUGUGGGCUGUUUAUUCCCAUCUUGUUUCACUCGUCUUCAGGGAACCGUGGGGACGAGACAGGAUGACAAAUACAAAUUUCUUGGUCUUUAAUCAUCUGGUUUAGCAAUGUGUUCAUCCACCAAAUGAUCACAGGAAUCGAUAUGAUUAAGCCUUUCUUGAGCUGCCAGCAGAAAUUUCAUGGAGUUCCUCUUUUUUAUCCCCCCCUCGUAGUGGAUUUAUGUUCCCUGACCUCAUUUAGCAGAAACAUGGUUCUCUUGAUCACCUAGCCUAGAGGCAACCGUUCAAGUGAGCGUUACCAAAAUUAAAGAAAACAUCAUAUUCGAAAUUAUAUACUAAACUCUACUAAAUUAUGAACUUGAUUAACUUCAGCUCAAGCAUUACCUACCAUAUUUAAGCUUAAACAUCAUUAGAAAACCGUCAAAACUUGACAGAAGGAAUGGCCAAGGUCUGUGGUCCUCUGCUGAUUUGCCUUGCUUAGCUUUCGCUCUUUUUUUUAUUUUUUUUUAUUUUUUAUGGUGGCUUGCUGAUUUUAGGCUCGUGUCUUGUCCUCUCACCAAUGACAUAUAUA